rnacentral:rRNA from 1 species
UGAGUAACACGUAUCCAACCUGCCGUCUACUCUUGGCCAGCCUUCUGAAAGGAAGAUUAAUCCAGGAUGGCAUCAUGAGUUCACAUGUCCGCAUGAUUAAAGGUAUUCCGGUAGACGAUGGGGAUGCGUUCCAUUAGAUAGUAGGCGGGGUAACGGCCCACCUAGUCAACGAUGGAUAGGGGUUCUGAGAGGAAGGUCCCCCACAUUGGAACUGAGACACGGUCCAA